ACGCACGCUGGCGGCGUGCUUAACACAUGCCAGUCGCACGGAAAGGCCCUGCUUUUGUGGGGUGCUCGAGUGGCGAACGGGUGAGUAACACGUGAGUAACCUGCCCUUGACUUUGGGAUAACUUCAGGAAACUGGGGCUAAUACCGGAUAGGAGCUCCUGCUGCAUGGUGGGGGUUGGAAAGUUUCGGCGGUUGGGGAUGGACUCGCGGCUUAUCAGCUUGUUGGUGGGGUAGUGGCUUACCAAGGCUUUGACGGGUAGCCGGCCUGAGGGGGUGACCGGCCACAUUGGGACUGAGAUACGGCCCAGACUCCUACGGGAGGCAGCAGUGGGGAAUAUUGCACAAUGGGCGGAAGCCUGAUGCAGCAACGCCGCGUGCGGGAUGACGGCCUUCGGGUUGUAAACCGCUUUCGCCUGUGACGAAGCGUGAGUGACGGUAAUGGGUAAAGAAGCACCGGCUAACUACGUG
rnacentral:rRNA from 1 species